rnacentral:rRNA from 1 species
AUUGAACGCUGGCGGCAGGCCUAACACAUGCAAGUCGAGCGGAUGAAGGGAGCUUGCUCCUGGAUUCAGCGGCGGACGGGUGAGUAAUGCCUAGGAAUCUGCCUGGUAGUGGGGGAUAACGUCCGGAAACGGGCGCUAAUACCGCAUACGUCCUGAGGGAGAAAGUGGGGGAUCUUCGGACCUCACGCUAUCAGAUGAGCCUAGGUCGGAUUAGCUAGUUGGUGAGGUAAAGGCCCACCAAGGCGACGAUCCGUAACUGGUCUGAGAGGAUGAUCAGUCACACUGGAACUGAGACACGGUCCAGACUCCUACGGGAGGCAGCAGUGGGGAAUAUUGGACAAUGGGCGAAAGCCUGAUCCAGCCAUGCCGCGUGUGUGAAGAAGGUCUUCGGAUUGUAAAGCACUUUAAGUUGGGAGGAAGGGCAGUAAGUUAAUACCUUGCUGUUUUGACGUUACCAACAGAAUAAGCACCGGCUAACUUCGUG